rnacentral:rRNA from 1 species
UACGUAGGGUCCGAGCGUUGUCCGGAAUUAUUGGGCGUAAAGGGCUCGUAGGCGGUUUGUCGCGUCGGGAGUGAAAACUUGGGGCUUAACCCCAUUCGUGCUUCCGAUACGGGCAGACUAGAGGCAGGCAGGGGAGAACGGAAUUCCUGGUGUAGCGGUGAAAUGCGCAGAUAUCAGGAAGAACACCAAUGGCGAAAGCAGCUUUCUGGGACGGUACUGACGCUGAGACGCGAAAGCGUGGGGAGCGAACAGG